CCAUCUUCCCCCAAAACCACAAGUACUAUAUAACGAACGUAACCUAACAUCGUUUCCUUUUCACCUCUUCCUUUCUAGGGUUUCGACUUUCUGGUUGUGAACAAAUUCAGUCUACAACUCUAAUUCAUUUUCAUCACAGUUUCUUUCUUUGGAUCUUAUUACCCUAGCUUCUGUCCGGUUGAGUUUUCUGCGGUGUUGGUGCGGUUAAGGGCUUGGGAUGGGUACGGAGAGGAAGAGGAAGGUCAGCUUGUUUGACGUUGUGGAUGAGACGUCAGUCACCGGGAAGGUCACCAAAUUGAACGGUGGGGCGGCGAUGAACAGCAACAGCGUUGGCGGCAACCUGAGUAGUCUUGUAAACCGGUGGAAUGGGAGGCCAUACUCGCAGAGGUAUUAUGAAAUACUGGAGAAGAGAAAGACUCUCCCUGUUUGGCAGCAGAAAGAGGAGUUCUUCCAGGUUCUUAAGGCCAGCCAGACUAUAAUACUGGUUGGUGAGACUGGUAGUGGUAAAACCACUCAGAUUCCCCAGUUUGUUUUGGAAGCUGUCGAUAUAGAAACCCCAGAUAAACGCAGGAAAUGGAUGGUUGGAUGCACACAACCUCGCAGAGUCGCUGCAAUGUCUGUUUCUCGACGUGUUGCUGAAGAGAUGGAUGUAACUAUUGGGGAAGAGGUUGGUUAUAGCAUACGUUUUGAAGACUGCAGCUGUGCUAGAACUGUUUUGAAGUAUCUGACAGAUGGUAUGCUCUUGCGAGAAGCAAUGACAGAUCCACUUUUGGAACGCUACAAGGUAAUUAUUCUCGAUGAGGCUCAUGAAAGAACUCUAGCUACAGAUGUACUUUUUGGUCUUCUCAAAGAAGUGCUGAAAAAUAGACCCGAUCUGAAGCUAGUUGUAAUGAGUGCAACACUUGAGGCUGAGAAAUUUCAGGGGUAUUUUAAUGGUGCACCUCUUUUGAAGGUGCCUGGUAGACUUCACCCUGUCGAGAUAUUUUACACUUCAGAACCUGAAAGGGACUACCUGGAGUCUGCCAUUCGGACUGUCGUGCAGAUACAUAUGUGUGAGCCUCCUGGGGAUAUUCUUGUUUUCUUAACUGGAGAGGAGGAGAUAGAAGAUGCAUGCCGUAAAAUAACAAAAGAAAUUGGUAAUCUUGGGGAUCAGGUGGGGCCUGUGAAAGUUGUGCCCCUUUAUUCUACUCUUCCUCCAGCUAUGCAACAAAAGAUAUUUGAACCUGCCCCACCUCCAGUAAAGGAAGACAGUCCUCCUGGAAGGAAGAUUGUGGUGUCAACAAACAUUGCGGAAACUUCACUAACCAUAGAUGGAAUAGUGUAUGUUAUUGAUCCUGGGUUUUCUAAGCAAAAAGUUUACAAUCCCCGAGUCCGUGUUGAAUCUUUGUUGGUAUCUCCAAUAUCAAAGGCAAGUGCACACCAGAGAACAGGACGUGCUGGAAGAACUCAACCAGGCAAAUGCUUCAGGCUCUACACAGAGAGGAGUUUCCAUAAUGAUCUUCAGCCACAGACAUACCCUGAAAUAUUGCGAUCAAACCUUGCAAAUACAGUUCUGACCUUGAAGAAACUGGGGAUAGAUGAUUUGGUGCAUUUUGAUUUUAUGGAUCCUCCGGCUCCUGAGACAUUGAUGCGAGCUUUGGAGGUAUUGAAUUACUUGGGAGCAUUGGAUGAUGAUGGGAACCUAACAAAAUUGGGUGAAAUCAUGAGUGAGUUUCCUUUGGAUCCACAAAUGUCAAAGAUGCUCGUCGUCAGUCCUGAAUUCAACUGCUCAAAUGAGAUCCUUUCAAUUUCUGCCAUGUUAUCAGUUUCUCAGUAUUCUCUCAUGAAGCACAUGGUGUCGUCUCGCCUCUAUGCAUCUGCUGACCUUCCGUGGGCCUCUUCUGUGAUAACCCAAUUCUUUCUUUAGUACCCAAUUGCUUUGUCCGGCCUAGGGAGGCUCAAAAAGCUGCGGACGAAGCGAAAGCUAGGUUUGGGCACAUCGAUGGAGAUCACCUUACGCUCUUAAAUGUCUAUCAUGCUUAUAAGCAAAACAAUGAGGACUCAUCUUGGUGUUAUGAGAAUUUUAUCAAUCAUAGGACCAUGAAGGCUGCUGAUAAUGUUAGACAACAGCUGGUACGCAUAAUGGCCAGGUUUAACCUCAAAUUGUGCAGCACUGAUUUCAACAGCCGUGACUACUAUGUCAAUAUAAGGAAGGCCAUGCUAGCUGGCUAUUUCAUGCAGGUGGCUCACCUGGAACGCACUGGACACUACUUGACUGUUAAAGACAAUCAAGUGGUGCACUUGCAUCCUUCAAAUUGCCUGGAUCACAAGCCAGAGUGGGUCAUUUACAAUGAGUAUGUACUGACUAGUCGAAAUUUUAUCCGCACAGUGACAGAUGUUCGUGGUGAAUGGUUAGUUGAUAUAGCACCACACUAUUAUGAUUUGAUUAACUUCCCCCAGUGUGAGGCCAAGCGUGUACUUGAGAAGCUUUACAAGAAGAGGGAGAGGGAGAGAGAGGAAAGCAAGAAUAGAAAGUGAACUAUUGCCAUUAGUAUAUUUUAGCUUUACCCCCCAGAUUUAAAAAGGAUGUUGAAUUUUGGAGAGGCAGGUGAAACAUUCUCCAGCAUACUUUUUUGGUGGAAUCUCCAAGUGGGUAAAA